UGUUCCCUACGGGGCGCAGCAGUGGGGAAUAUUGCACAAUGGGGGAAACCCUGAUGCAGCGACGCCGCGUGAGUGAAGAAGUAAUUCGUUACGUAAAGCUCUAUCAGCAGGGAAGAAAUACUGACCUUACGGUCAGCAGACGGUACCUGAGUAAGAAGCCCCGGCUAACUACGUGCCAGCAGCCGCGGUAAUACGUAGGGGGCAAGCGUUAUCCGGAUUUACUGGGUGUAAAGGGGGCGUAGACGGCAGCGCAAGUCUGGAGUGAAAUCCCAUGGCUUAACCAUGGAACUGCUUUGGAAACUGUG
rnacentral:rRNA from 1 species